rnacentral:rRNA from 1 species
CACGUAGGGGGCGAGCGUUGUCCGGAUUUAUUGGGCGUAAAGAGCUCGUAGGCGGCUCAGUUAGUCGGGUGUGAAACCCCCGGGCUCAACCCGGGGACGCCACCCGAUACUGCUGUGGCUAGAGUCCGGUAGGGGAGCGUGGAAUUCCUGGUGUAGCGGUGAAAUGCGCAGAUAUCAGGAGGAACACCAGCGGCGAAGGCGGCGCUCUGGGCCGGAACUGACGCUGAGGAGCGAAAGCGUGGGGAGCGAACAGG